UCUCUUAGCAAAUUUUUUAAGGGUAGGCUUAACUGCUGAUGAUUGGCAGAGACGAAGAAGAAAUGAAGAAUUUUAAGGGUGCAAGACAACAAACUGGGUUCGAAAAAGUUUCCCAGAAGAAGCAUCGCAGGUCAAGGAAACCCAAGUUUGAGCUUAUCAAACCAAAGAAAGUUUACGAUAACAAGAAAAAGGAUAAGAAAAAGAACCAGAUGGAGAUCACCCAGAUCGCCAAGCUAGGGCUGGAAGAGUUUCCGAUCAUGUUUUCUGAAAUUAGGGAAAGGAACCGCCUGCUGGAAGAGCUGAACUCUAAGAUCAACCGUUACAUUCUUGAUAAGCUUUCUACUUGGGAUGCCGAAGACAAAUAAAGGCUUUUGAUCAUUUGAUCCAUCUGGGAUCUUAUCUACCGAGCUGCUUCGGUUGAAUAAAGAGAAGAGAAGAGCAAGCAUCUUGGAUUGCCUACUGUUUCUUUAUGUAUGCAUGAAUCUACUUAUCUAUCUAUCUAUCAAGAACUGAAUUGGUGUGUUUUAUCUUGGAUUGCUUACUGUUUCUAUAUGUAUGCAUGAAUCUACCUACCUACCUACCUAUCUAUCUAUCAAGAACUGAAUUGGUGUGUUUCAUCUUGGAUUGCUUACUGUUUCUAUAUGUAUGCAUGAAUCUACCUACCUACCUUUCUAUCUAUCAAGAACUGAAUUGGUGUGUUUUGGGAA